GAUGAACGCUGGCGGCGUGCCUAACACAUGCAAGUCGAACGGACUUACAUUGAAGCCUAGCGAUAUGUAAGUUAGUGGCGGACGGGUGAGUAACGCGUGGGUAACCUGCCUUGUACUGGGGGACAACAGUUGGAAACGACUGCUAAUACCGCAUAAGCGCACAGCUUCGCAUGAAGCGGUGUGAAAAACUCCGGUGGUACAAGAUGGACCCGCGUCUGAUUAGCUGGUUGGUGAGGUAACGGCCCACCAAGGCGACGAUCAGUAGCCGGCCUGAGAGGGUGAACGGCCACAUUGGGACUGAGACACGGCCCAAACUCCUACGGGAGGCAGCAGUGGGGAAUAUUGCACAAUGGGGGAAACCCUGAUGCAGCAACGCCGCGUGAGUGAAGAAGUAUUUCGGUAUGUAAAGCUCUAUCAGCAGGAAAGAAAAUGACGGUACCUGACUAAGAAGCCCCGGCUA
rnacentral:rRNA from 1 species